rnacentral:rRNA from 1 species
UACGUAGGUGGCAAGCGUUGUCCGGAUUUACUGGGCGUAAAGAGCGCGCAGGCGGUCGUUCAAGUCGCGUGUGAAAGCCCCCCGGCUCAACUGGGGAGGGUCACGCGAUACUGAUCGACUCGAAGGCAGGAGAGGGUAGUGGAAUUCCCGGUGUAGUGGUGAAAUGCGUAGAUAUUCGGCGGAACACCAGUGGCGAAGGCGACUCACUGGCCCGAUACUGACGCUGAGGCGCGAAAGCGUGGGGAGCAAACAGG